AUCACAACAACAGCAUGUUUAUAUCAAAGCUUUUUUUCGGAUAAACCCUUAUUAUCAAGAUAUAUUUGCUUAAUCUGGAUUUAUUCAACAAGAUUUGUCACACAAAUUUGUUUAAAUUUCUUUCAUUUGUGUCAAAGGUUAGUAUGCAUAACCAAAAGAAAGAAAAUAAACAAGGAAUUAUAAUAUGGAAAAUGAAUGUGCAGAAAGAAAAUUGAUUAGGCUUUGGUCGACAGAUGCUGAAGUAGCCCGUAUGGAAAAAAAAUCUUCCGAAAAUUAGUGGCGUACGUAAAAACUCUCACAUAUAUAGUGAGAUGUCAACAGAAUUAGCUGCAAGUGGAUUUAUAUAUGAUGGAGAAGAAGUAAAAAACAAUAUCACAAACAGAUGCCGGUUAUUAGUGGUUCUUUACACCCCACUAUGUAUAUAUAUUCUUCAUCAGUUUACAAUUCUGUGUCGAUUUAGGGUCUGUAUGUCCGACCGUGGAAACCCCGCUAGCUUCCGAGCUAAAGGAAAUAUACCUUUUGUGGAAUUUGUCGAUGAUGAAUAUAUUGAGUGUAUUGAAAUUUUAUGUUUCGAUAUUGAAAGUAUGGAAGUUCCUGUCGAAGAAUCAAAACCAAAAAAGCGAAGAAAAGUGACAAAGAAAAUACUAAAAUAAUUAAACAAAAUAUAGAAGCUACUAACAAGGAGUUAGUAGAGUGUGUAAAAUAUAUGAAUGAUUUAACUGAAAAAGGGCUCAAUAUACAAAAAGUCAUUGCUGAGACCGAAAAAGAGCGAAGCGAAAUCCUUAAGGAAUUUGUAUAUAUUUUUAAAAAUAAUAAUUUCAAGUAAAUUACAAAUACUUGAUUUUUUGACGCGCAUUUUUAA